rnacentral:rRNA from 1 species
CCUACGGGGGGCAGCAGUAGGGAAUUUUCGACAAUGGGCGCAAGCCUGAUCGAGCAAUGCCGCGUGGAUGAGGAAGGUCUUCGGAUCGUAAAACUCUGUUGUUAGAGAAGAAAAGGGGUGAGAGGAACUGCUCACGUUUCGACGUUAUCUAACCAGAAAGCCACGGCUAACUACGUGCCAGCAGCCGCGGUAAUACGUAGGUGGCAAGCGUUAUCCGGAUUCAUUGGGCGUAAAGGGAACGCAGGCGGUCUUUUAAGUCUGAUGUGAAAG